ACGACCAACCGUCCUCAAAACAUAGGAGCCGUAGAAGACCCUCCAGCCCCAACACAGCUGCCCACAAAUGAGGGGAGCCAAAGGUGGGAGUGGGAGAGAGAGAGAAGAGAGAAGUAAGCGUCACCUACUCGAGGAGAUUGAGGAGGAGGACUUGCUUAAACAAGUAAUUUAUGUUCAAUAAAAUCAUUAUGGAAAGAAUUCUUUACUGGAAAUAUAGUAAAAUACCUCAGCUUUGAAAACUUUCAAGAAUAUUUACUCAACUGAAAAGUUUAGGAUCAACCUGAUAAGCCUCAUCUCCCACACUGGAUGUUAGGAAAAAGACAACAUCAAGAAGACUUUUCUCCCACUUCAGCGCAUGACAGGACAUCCUGCACCUGGCAUUGACCUCUAAUGGAUUGAUGGCAACUGCUCCAUCUGAUUCCGCCCAGAUGCAAAGGGAAUCCAUCAAAUCCUUGAUUCCGAAUUCCACCUUGCCCGGGAGCUCUGGGGAGGGCCAUCCACUUUCAGUAGCAGAAGAUUUAUUUUCACAAGAGUCACAUAGUAAAGCAUACCGUCCAUAUUUCUGGACUAGUCCAGGGCAGUUUAAAAAUGUCCAUCUUUGAACUCCAAAGAUUAGUUAACAAAAAUAUAUCUCGGUUCCUGAGUGGCAGCUGAGCCAUCAGCGUCCAAUCCUAGGUCAGCCUGGCAUCUACACUGCAGGAGCUAUGAAUUUACUGAAACACCCCGGAAAAUCCCUGACGCACUGUGACCAGCAGAAUAAAUGAACAGAGCCUGUGCAACCAAAUGCUCUUUCCUUCCAAAUCCUCUCUCAUUUGAAAUCCCAUGGAAAAAUGCGGACUUGUGACUGUAGAGCAGAGGUUUGAAUCAAGUUUACUUCAAAUGAUCAAUUUUUCUAAAAAACUCAAGACACUGGUGAACUUCUCCAGAGAAUUCUUGAAUUAUCAGUGAGUUGUUUAUGAAACUGUAUUAAUGGCAAAAGAAGAAUAGUGCAUGUGUGCAUGUCUGCAUGUGUGUCUGUGUGUUUAGUAAGAAGAUUAUUGAGAUUUUAAACUCAGUGUGCUCUGCAGGACGCAGAAUACGUCCAGAAUGUGUGGACACCAAAAGUGGCCCCAGGUGAAAUUUUUCCAGCUCUUAGUCAUGUCCCUUCUGUGUCCACUCAUGACCUCCUGUAUAGGAAGGGGCAGAGAGUGCUAAUGGUCAGGGAUUGGGGUCUAGCGUGAAUCACAGUAGUCUCAUUUUGCAGCUGAGGUUAGAGAAGUUAGUCCAUUUGGUGAGACUGAGACUAACACAUGCACAGUAUGUAGAGUGACAGAAUUGGUGUCAGCUGUUUUCUUCAUUGUCUAAAUCUUGGUUCUGCGUGCAGCCUUCUCGCUGUCACAGACAGAUGCAACAAGCCCCUGUUCAGAGCAAUCACCACCAGUCUUGGCUUUCAAGGCCUCUGCUAGUGCGUAAUGUCUUGAAUUUAUUGUGUAGUUUGUGAGACUUAACCUAGUCCCUUAUAUAUUGUGUUAUAAUAACUCUGGGUGGUGGUUACAUUUACUCAUUCUCUUGUUUAUAAUAAUCCUGUAUGUAAAUAAAUGAAUAGAUGUACACUUAGGGUACUGAACUCUUCUUGUUAAAAUAAAACUAUUUCAAUAUAUAUGCUAAUUUGUUUCAUUUAUACAAAAAGUUUAUCUG